GAAGCACAGGUUGCUGCGGUCCACUGUC
rnacentral:sRNA from 1 species